GCCCCCGUGGCGGAAUGGCAGACGCUGCGGACUUAAAAUCCGUUGCCAGCAAUGGCGUCCCGGUUCAAGUCCGGGCGGGGGCACCA
rnacentral:tRNA from 1 species